rnacentral:rRNA from 1 species
AUGGCUCAGGAUGAACGCUGGCGGCGUGCUUAACACAUGCAAGUCGAAACGGAGUUUUUAAACGGAAGUUUUCGGAAUGGAAAGUUUAGAAACUUAGUGGCGGACGGGUGAGUAACGCGUGGGUAACCUGCCUCAUACAGGGGGAUAACAGUUAGAAAUGACUGCUAACACCGCAUAAUAUAGCGAAACCGCAUGAUUUUUGCUAUCAAAUAUUUAUAGGUAUGAGAUGGGCCCGCGUCUGAUUAGCUAGUUGGUGGGGUAAAAGCCUACCAAGGCGACGAUCAGUAGCCGGCUUGAGAGAGUGACCGGCCACAUUGGGACUGAGACACGGCCCAAACUCCUACGGGAGGCAGCAGUGGGGAAUAUUGGACAAUGGGGGAAACCCUGAUCCAGCCGACGCCGCGUGAGUGAAGAAGUAUUUCGGUAUGUAAAGCUCUAUCAGCAGGGAAGAUAAUGACAGUACCUGACUAAGAAGCCCCGGCUAACUACGUGCCAGCCGCCGC